UGAGGAAUAUUGGUCAAUGGGCGAGAGCCUGAACCAGCCAAGUCGCGUGAGGGAAGACGGUACUAAGUAUUGUAAACCUCUUUUGUCAGGGAGCAAAGACAUGCACGAGUGCAUGGUUGAGCGUACCUGAAGAAAAAGCAUCGGCUAACUCCGUGCCAGCAGCCGCGGUAAUACGGAGGAUGCGAGCGUUAUCCGGAUUUAUUGGGUUUAAAGGGUGCGCAGGCGGUAUGUCAAGUCAGCGGUAAAAUGUCGGGGCUCAACCCCGGCCGGCCGUUGAAACUGGCACACUAGAGUUGGAGAGAAGUAUGCGGAAUUCGUGGUGUAGCGGUGAAAUGCAUAGAUAUCACGAAGAACUCCGAUUGCGAAGGCAGCAUACCGGCUCCACACUGACGCUCAGGCACGAAAGCGUGGGUAUCGAACAGG
rnacentral:rRNA from 1 species